rnacentral:rRNA from 1 species
UACAGAGGUCCCAAGCGUUGUUCGGAUUCAUUGGGCGUAAAGGGUGCGUAGGCGGCGCGGUAAGUCGGGUGUGAAAUCUCGGAGCUUAACUCCGAAACUGCAUUCGAUACUGCCGUGCUUGAGGACUGGAGAGGAGACUGGAAUUUACGGUGUAGCGGUGAAAUGCGUAGAUAUCGUAAGGAAGACCAGUGGUGAAGGCGGGUCUCUGGACAGUUCCUGACGCUGAGGCACGAAGGCCAGGGGAGCAAACGGG